rnacentral:rRNA from 1 species
GGGGAAUUUUGGACAAUGGGCGCAAGCCUGAUCCAGCCAUGCCGCGUGUCUGAAGAAGGCCUUCGGGUUGUAAAGGACUUUUGUCAGGGAAGAAAAGGCUGUUGCUAAUACCGACAACUGAUGACGGUACCUGAAGAAUAAGCACCGGCUAACUACGUGCCAGCAGCCGCGGUAAUACGUAGGGUGCGAGCGUUAAUCGGAAUUACUGGGCGUAAAGCGAGCGCAGACGGUUACUUAAGCAGGAUGUGAAAUCCCCGGGCUCAACCUGGGAACUGCGUUCUGAACUGGGUGACUAGAGUGUGUCAGAGGGAGGUAGAAUUCCACGUGUAGCAGUGAAAUGCGUAGAGAUGUGGAGGAAUACCGAUGGCGAAGGCAGCCUCCUGGGAUAACACUGACGUUCAUGCUCGAAAGCGUGGGUAGCAAACAGGAUUAGAUACCCUGGUAGUCCACGCCCUAAACGAUGUCAAUUAGCUGUUGGGCAACUUGAUUGCUUAGUAGCGUAGCUAACGCGUGAAAUUGACCGCCUGGGGAGUACGGUCGCAAGAUUA